rnacentral:rRNA from 1 species
AUGCCAUCCACGGACGUUUCUUCUAUCACUGAGCUUUUUGUAGAGACCAUCGAUAAGGCGUUGGCGAGGGCCAUCGAAGGCUUAAAUGAUUCCACUAUUGCAGAUCCUCAGCGCGAUGACAUUCUUCAAGCAGUCUAUUUGAUGCUGCCGACCGGGGAUACUGUUCCUCGAAUUGCCACUGUUCGCACUGACUUGCAAAAACUCAUUUCUUUUUCAAGUGAAAUGCAAGGAGCCCGCAAAGGAAUUGCUGAUCAUUCUCAGAAACAGGCUGAAGCUGUUAAUGCAGCGGAGACGGAAAGUGGAUUGUUGGGAGACACUUUGAAAGCUACGUCAAAGAAAAUGUCAGCCUUGAAGAAGCAGCGUGAAGAAGAGGAGAAUGUCGUGGAAGACCUUGGUGCGAAGCUGAAGGCAGCUACCUCCACGUUGUAG